rnacentral:rRNA from 1 species
UGAGGAAUAUUGGGCAAUGCCCGCAAGGGUGACACAGCAACGCCGCGUGGAGGAUGAAUGUCGUAAGAUUGUAAACUCCUGUUAGAGGGGAAGAAUAGUACCGGUUGGACCGGUAUAUGACUGUACCCUCAGAGAAAGCCCCGGCUAACUACGUGCCAGCAGCCGCGGUAAUACGUAGGGGGCAAGCGUUGUCCGGAUUUACUGGGUGUAAAGGGCGCGCAGGCGGGAUAAAAAGUCAGUGGUGAAAUCCUACAGCUUAACUGUAGAACUGCCUUUGAUACUUUUAUUCUUGAGUUCGGGAGAGAGAGACGGAAUUCCAGGUGUAGUGGUGAAAUACGUAGAUAUCUGGAAGAACACCAGUUGCGAAGGCGGUCUCUUGGUCCGACACUGACGCUGAGGCGCGAAAGCGUGGGGAGCAAACA